rnacentral:lncRNA from 1 species
GAAGCAAGGAGGAUAUUGGCAGCCAAAGCCCUGGCGAACUUGACUGAGUUUGUUGAGGAGGAGGAGGUGAAAAGGAGAGUGGAAAUGUGGCAGAAAGAACUAAAUUCCCGAGAGGGAGCCUGGGAACGAAUAUGUGGUGAGAGAGACCCUUUCAUCUUGUGCAGUUUGAUGUGGUCUUGGGUGGAGCAACUGAAAGAACCUGUAAUCAGCAAAGAGGAUGUGGACAUGCUGGUCGACAGACACGCAGAUGCUGCCGAAGCCCUGUUUUUACUAGAGAAGUUUGUGUCCACAGGGGCAGUACCAGACCAUCCUCUGUGUGUUGCAUUGCAUUGUGAGCCUGCAGACGCUUCCGGUGGAGGUGGAGGAAGCUUGCCUUUCACAUGCCAUUAAAGCCUUCACCAAGGUUAAUUUUGAUUCUGAAAAUGGACCAAUAGUUUACGACACCCUGAAAAAAAUAUUUAAGCACACGUUGGAAGAAAAGAGAAAAAUGGCAAAAGACAGCCCGAGGCCUGGUCUCUCCUGAAGCUUUCUUCUCUGGACGAGCAUCCGACCUAAGCAUCCAUCCAUCCCAAGCGGGGAACAGUGCUGGCUGCGCUUCCCCCCCUCCGGCCAUUGUCAGUGCUGUCUCCCUUUUUUAGUUAUUUAUUUUGAAAUAUCUUUGAGCUGUGUCUUAAAAAAUUGCCAUAAAGUUGGUGCCACUUUAUUUAUUUACUGAAUUGAUAGUAUUGUAUUGACAUUUUAAUUAUAUUUGUGUCCUUACUCUUUUUGACAUUUUGGAGGAAAAAAACAAUCCUUUCAAAACAGUUAUUCAUUUUCUCUUUCUUUUUCUUUUCUUUCUUUCUUUCUUUUUUUUUUUUUGACAAAACUCUUUGUGGAGUUUUUACCAAAUAGAUCAUUUUAGUAGUAAAACCUCACUAUGUAUCCUUCCCAAGACAUGUGUCCCUCCCUCAGAGAUAUGACCUAAGAUAGUCACCAAGUGUCUUAAACUGUUUUAUAUUCGUUACUAAGAAGGCUACUAAUACAUUUUAAAGGACCUUUAAAAAACUUUGAAGCUUUUUUUGUUUUGUUUUGUUUUUAACAGAUGUGGCAAAGUCUUUCAAAGAAUAUUAUUUUCAGUGAUUCAGUGAUUCAGUUUACUUUAACAGACUGACUGGAGUGGUUGGGUUUCGCACUUGUAGAAAGUAGUCUUGCUGUUAGUCAGGCUUCCCGACAACCUCUCCCUUGGCUUUCAGGGGAGGGAGCAGCUCUCAACCCAGAAACCUUAUUCUGUGUCCCCAACCUGCCGCUGAGCCUUCACUGCUGUCCAGAGAAAUGGAUCAGAAGUGGCUAUGUGGGCAGUUGCUAAGGAACAGAACUGGCCUGGUCCUCCUAGGGACUGUAGAAAGGACAGCAGUGAAGGACAGCUCUCGGGUGGGGGGGGGUAGGGUGGCCAUCCUGCACAGGCCACUCAGAGCUGGAGCAAGUCAGACCGGCCACUUUCUGUCCCCGGGAGUGCUGGCAUUGCUACCUGGCCUAUGCCCA